GCGAGGAUAGCCAAGCGGCCAAAGGCGGGUGACUCAAGAUCAUCUCCCGUAGGGGUUCGUCGGUUCAAAUCCGGCUCCUCGCA
rnacentral:tRNA from 1 species